AUGGCUCAUUAAAUCAGUUAUAAUUUAUUUGAUAGUACAAUUACUACUUGGAUAACCGUGGUAAUUCUAGAGCUAAUACAUGCUAAAAUUCCCGACUUCUGGAAGGGAUGUAUUUAUUAGAUAAAAAACCAAUAUCGGGCAACCGAUUCCCUUGGUGAUUCAUGAUAACUUUUCGAAUCGUAUGACUUUAAUGUCGACGCGAUGGUUCAUUCAAAUUUCUGCCCUAUCAACUUUCGAUGGUAGGAUAGAGGCCUACCAUGGAAUAUUUCAACGGGUAACGGGGAAUUAGGACGUUCGACUCCGGAGAGGGAGCCUGAGAAACGGCUACCACAUCCAAGGAAGGCAGCAGGCGCGCAAAUUUACCCAAUCCCGACACGGGGAGGUAGUGACAAUAAAUACUGAUACAGGGCUCUUUUGGGUCUUGUAAUUGGAAUGAGUACAAUUUAAAUCCCUUAACGAGGAACAAUUGGAGGGUCAAGUCUGGUGCCAGCAGCCGCGGUAAUUCCAGCUCCAAUAGCGUAUAUUAAAGUUGUUGCAGUUAAAAAGCUCGUAGUUGAAUUUCGGGAUCAAUGUUUCGGUCAUGCCGUUGGUAUGUACU
rnacentral:rRNA from 1 species